AGCCUUGUUAGCAUUUUGGUUCACCAGAUAAACUCAGUGCCCUCGUUGUUAGUUGUCUGAUGCGUAGUCAUUGAAAUUGAAGUAAAACUGCACCAUGCCUAGAUUGCUCUACUCGACCACAUUGUUAGGAUAUGAUACCAUUCCCUAUCAAUUUGAACUUGAAUCUGAUUUAGAAUUAUCAUGUCUUGGCAUCGAAUUAGAACUCAUGGAUAUCCUAAAAUACUUGGAUUUUCUUAUUCAUUUUAACCACUCUUGUUAAUCCAAGUAGCUGACUCUCCUUAUUAGAGUAGUUAACCCGAAUCCAAACCUAAACCUUCUUUCAA
rnacentral:sRNA from 1 species